CCCUUUCCAGGAACCUCAGCUCAGUGAAUCACAUCAUAUAACAUCCGCUUCUAUCCGAAUAUGCCUAACUAGUUAGACUUUCAGAAACUACAAAAUAGAGAUCGAUCGACUAGUGCUAGCUGUGAUCGAUAUCAUCGCGAUGGGAAACUGUUUCGGAGCUCGUGUGAAACAUUAUAAUAGCCAACCAGUCAGUAAGCAGCCUAGCCCAGCUGAAACAAUGAGAGACAUCAAAGGCAUCAAACCAGAUGGAUUAGAAGCUGGAAGAAAAAGAAUGAUGUACUCCAAGAAAGAGAGCAGUGGAAUAGUGAUGUCGACAAAACCCUCAGAACCGGCAACUCAUAAGCUUCCAUGUCCGGACCCAAGUACUAUAGGAAGGAUCGUGAAACCUAACUUGAAAGAGUUUACGUUCGCGACGUUGAAGAAGGCAACCCGAGACUUCAAACCGGAUACGAUUCUCGGGGAAGGAGGUUUUGGGAGGGUUUUCAAGGGGUGGGUGGACGAGAAGACGUACGCGCCGUCUAGGGCAGGCAUCGGCAUGGCCGUCGCCGUCAAGAAGUCCAGCGCGGAUAGUUAUCAAGGCAAGCAAGAAUGGGAGGCUGAGGUGAAUUUCUUAGGGAAGUAUUUGCAUCCAAACCUUGUUAAAUUGCUGGGCUAUUGCUGCGAGGAGGAUCAGUUUCUUCUCGUGUAUGAGUACAUGCAGAAAGGAAGCUUGGAAAACCACCUCUUUAGAAAAGGUCAAGAACCACUUUCAUGGAAUAUAAGGCUUAAAAUAGCAAUCGGAGCUGCGCGAGGUCUAGCAUUCUUGCACACUUCAGAAAGAGUCAUCUACCGCGACUUCAAGGCCUCCAAUAUUUUGUUGGAUCCAGACUACAAUGCGAAACUUUCAGAUUCGGGUUGGCAAAGCUCGGACCAUCAAAUGGAAACUCGCACGUAACAACUCGUAUUAUCGGUACUUAUGGCUACGCAGCUCCGGAAUAUGUUGCAACCGGACAUUUGUACGUGAAGAGCGAUGUGUACGGUUUCGGCGUGGUGUUACUAGAGAUACUGACCGGACGGCGAGCCCUAGACACUAACAGACCGGCCAGAGAGCACAGUUUGGUGGACUGGGCGAGACCUUCUCUUCUUAAGAAGAAAGAGGUGAAGAAGAUGAUGGAUCCAAAGCUUGGAGAACAAUACAAUAUAAAAGGUGCAUACCAAGCAGCUGAGCUUAUUUACCGAUGCCUGGAAUCUGAUCCAAAAGACAGGCCAUCCAUGGAAGAAGUUCUGGUAGUUCUGGAGAGGAUCAAUGCCAUUCAGGACAAACCUAAAGCUGGUACAAUACUUAAUGACAGAAGACAAGAAGAAAGUUCGGCACGCCAAAAAUAUUAUAACUACAACAAGUCUCCAAUUCACCAAAAGAAUGUUGGCAGUGGAGUAACUUAUCAAGCUCGGCCACACUAGUAAUUCAUCAUAUUAGGGCACUAGAAAUAGACAAUGUAGUUUUGGGCAAGUGUCAAUAUAUGUUCAUCGAUCAGGUGUAGAUAAGUUUUGAAUCAAUAAUACCUCUGCAUGCGGUGAAGAUAGAUUCUCGCAAUUUCUGUCCAAAAUUUGUUGCUAGCUGCAGCACUCUGUAUAGUAUUGCUUUGUAUUGUAUUGUUGUUCGACUUAGAGAGAUCGAGUUGCUAUACUCUGUUAUAUAGCCUUCAUAUACUGUGAUUUU